CAGCCGCGUCCCGUUGCCAAGCAACGCAGCCGCGCCGUGCGCUCCGAGGGUGUUCCGAGUGCAGCGGCCUCCUCCAGGACGCCCGCGGAGUGGCGGGGAGGAGGGUGGAGGAGUUUCAUCGGAACGACUACGGCGAAUGGAUCGCAGGCAACGCCUCUGUUUACUUUUGUCAGAUAAAGAUGCUCCGGGUUCCCGGGUCGGAACAUCGCGGCAGCAGCAGCAGCAGCAGGAGGAGGAGGAAGGAGUCGCGGUGGCUGCGUGGAGCGCGCGUGUCUCUGCGUCUCUCUGUUCCGCGUGCGUGUGCGCGUGUGUCAGUCCGCGUGCGUGCCGAUGAUGACGAGCGCCGCGGAGAGGAGCCGCACGACUUCAAUGCCCGCCUCUGCA